CGCUUUCAAUCUCAGUCACAACAGCAGCAGAUCUCAAAGCUGCAGUGGAUAAAGACCCCUUUCAGCUCAUCACAAGGUAUAAUGCAAACCCUGAAUGUAAGAGAAAUUAAUGCAUGGCAGAAGAUCUGUGGAGCAUCACAAACUACAGGAGAAUUAUACAUCAGGACAAGAGAAAAAGAGAAAAAUGGCAAACAAAGAAGACAAGGGACAAUCUAAUAAAUCAAGAAAGAAAAAGUCCCUGAGAUUAAUCAGACGGACCAGCAUUAAUAGCGGCAAACCAAACUUUUCUCGUGAUUCAGACAGACCAGCAGUGUUUCAUUCUGAUAAUUCAGAGACACAUACAGAUUAGAAGCCUGCAGUCAAUGAGUGAGCAGACAUGAUCUCUUCUGGGUCAUCACAGAGAGGCACAAAAUCACUUUCCAGGACCUUCACAUUCACUGUUUCUCACUGGUGGAAUGAUCUGGACAGCC